AUGCAUGUUGGGACCUAUGGUCACGGUUGUCCAUUCUCUUUCAUUGUAGAGUUUGGACAUAUACUAACAUGCUAGAUUAACUUUUGGAGUUAUCAGGGCCACCAGUCUCUCGAGAACAGCCUGAGUCGGUAGUAUAAUACUCCAACAUGU
ensembl:snoRNA small nucleolar RNA U109